CAGGAAUUUAUCCAUUUCCUCUAGAUUUCCUAAUUUGUGUACAUAGAGGUGUUCAUAAUAGUCUAUGAGGAUUUUUUGUAUUUCUGUGGGAUCAGUUGUAAUGUCAUCUUUGUCAUUUUGGAAUGUGCUUAUUUGGAUCUUCUCUCUUUUUUCUUUAAGCUAGCUAGUGGUCUACAAAUCUUUGGUCUUUAAUGAUGGUGACGUACAGAGGGGUUUUGGUGUGGAUGUCCUUUCUGUUUGUUAGUUUUCCUUCUAACAGUCAGGACCCUCAGCUGCAGGUCUGUUGCAGUUUACUGGAGGUCCACUUCAGACCCUGUUUGCCGGGGUAUCACCAGCAGAGGCUGCCUCACUGGUUCAUAGAAAUAACAUUGAUUACUAAUUGGCUAUACAUUAUUAAGCUACAUUGUGUGGUUAUGGUUUCAGUGCAGCAUUAUUUGGUGCACUUCUGCCUGGGCGACCGAAUGAGACUCCAUCUCAAAAAAAAAAAAUAAAUAACACUUUUGGAUCUUGUUGCAAUGGUACUUUAAUAUAGUUAUUUGUUUGUACUUCAGGUUUCCUUACUGGGCUCUUAUUUCCUCAAUAAGUUGGGUGGAAUUCUGAUUUCUAUUUUCUCCACAGUCUAGCAGGGUAUACAGAUCAUGGAAAGUGAUUUUAAUAUUCUAUUGAAUGUAUAUAUUUGGAGAAGAGGCUAGCAUGUGAUAAUAUAAAAUUAAGGCCAUGUUUAAUAUUGGCUGUCAGUCUUAGCAAAAGAUAUAAAAAUGCUGUAGACUACAGCUUUCCAACCAGAAGCAAGGCUCAGGGACCAGCAGUUUCCAUAUCACCAAGCUCAUUAGAUGUGCAAUCUCUGUCCUACCAUAGACUGAACUAGAAUCUAAAUUUCAAUAGAGAGCACAUGGAAUUGGUAAGCACAUUAAACUUUGAAAAGCAUUGUUCUAAACUGAUCAAACAUAAUUUCUCCUUUAGUCAACAACAUAAUUCUCAAUGGGCCCAUCAUUUCACCAGUUCAUAUUUUCUUACAGCACUUUUAUUACUGCUCCUUAAGAUUCUGUUGUACAAAAUCUGCUGUAACAUAGAACAAAUGCCAAUUGGACAAUGAAAAAAAUGAAAAUUUGAGGAUAAGUGGGAAAAAUUUGAGGUACAUAGAUAGACUCAUUAAGGAUGAGAACUAUAUUUCCAAUGAAUCUCCAGUGCCUAGCAGUGAACUUGAAAUCUGGAAUGCAAUUGGAACUCAGUAAACAUUUAUUUGUUAACUGAAUGAAUGGAGAAAGUCCAUUGACUCAUUAUGGUGCUUUUCCUAAAAGAAGUGUGCAAUUUUUUUUAAGUUAUUGCUUCCCAAAUAUUAUUUAUCUGUCAUAAUGGAGCUUCACUAAUGAUGGAUAGUUGAGUGUCUUC
rnacentral:lncRNA from 1 species